ACACCUUUUUCAGCCUUUUUGGCUUACAUCAAUUGUAGUAUCAUAUGAGUUUAAUAUCUGAUAUGUGGCAUAUUGGAUCACACGAUUGUAAUUCCGUUUUUUUUCAUGGGGAGGUCCCGUUACAGUAGUAGCUUACUGUUGAGGUCCUCAACUGUCACUGUUAAGCAACAGCAGUAGCUUACUGUUGCUCCUCUAC